GAUGAACGCUGGCGGCGUGCCUAAUACAUGCAAGUCGAGCGAACAGACGAAGAGCUUGCUCCUCUGACGUUAGCGGCGGACGGGUGAGUAACACGUGGAUAACCUACCUAUAAGACUGGGAUAACUUCGGGAAACCGGAGCUAAUACCGGAUAAUAUAUUGAACCGCAUGGUUCAAUAGUGAAAGACGGUUUUGCUGUCACUUAUAGAUGGAUCCGCGCCGCAUUAGCUAGUUGGUAAGGUAACGGCUUACCAAGGCGACGAUGCGUAGCCGACCUGAGAGGGUGAUCGGCCACACUGGAACUGAGACACGGUCCAGACUCCUACGGGAGGCAGCAGUAGGGAAUCUUCCGCAAUGGGCGAAAGCCUGACGGAGCAACGCCGCGUGAGUGAUGAAGGUCUUCGGAUCGUAAAACUCUGUUAUUAGGGAAGAACAAAUGUGUAAGUAACUAUGCACGUCUUGACGGUACCUAAUCAGAAAGCCACGGCUAACUACGUG
rnacentral:rRNA from 1 species